AAGUGUAAUAUAUUAUUGUAUUUAUCUUUCUUUUUCUCUGUAUCUCAUAUAAAGCUCGUAACCAAUCAGAUCCAUAAGUUAAAAUUUGAAUAGUUUUUGCUCUCAAGGCUGCUCUAUGUGGAUUAAUAACUUUACCUCCAACACUAAAAGCUGAUUCUAAAGCUACAGUUGUAAUAGGAAUUGAUAGUAUGUCACGUGCCAUUUUUUAUAAUAUCCUGUAUUUCAUGUUAUUCAUCUUCCACCUUCUAAUGCAUCAAAUUUUUCAUCUUCACAAAUAUGAACACCA
rnacentral:misc_RNA from 1 species